UACGGAGGAUGCGAGCGUUAUCCGGAUUUAUUGGGUUUAAAGGGUGCGUAGGCGGCGAGUUAAGUCAGCGGUAAAAGCCCGGGGCUCAACCCCGGCCCGCCGUUGAAACUGGCAGUCUCGAGUUGGAGAGAAGUAUGCGGAAUGCGUGGUGUAGCGGUGAAAUGCAUAGAUAUCACGCAGAACCCCGAUUGCGAAGGCAGCCUGCCAAGCCAUGACUGACGCUGAUGCACGAAAGCGUGGGGAUCGAACAGG
rnacentral:rRNA from 1 species